CGGACGGGUGAGUAAUGUCUGGGAAACUGCCCGAUGGAGGGGGAUAACUACUGGAAACGGUAGCUAAUACCGCAUAACGUCGCAAGACCAAAGAGGGGGACCUUCGGGCCUCUUGCCAUCGGAUGUGCCCAGAUGGGAUUAGCUAGUAGGUGGGGUAGCGGCUCACCUAGGCGACGAUCCCUAGCUGGUCUGAGAGGAUGACCAGCCACACUGGAACUGAGACACGGUCCAG
rnacentral:rRNA from 1 species